GGAUGUGAGGGCGAUCUGGCUGCGACAUCUGUCACCCCAUUGAUCGCCAGGGUUGAUUCGGCUGAUCUGGCUGGCUAGGCGGGUGUCCCCUUCCUCCCUCACCGCUCCAUGUGCGUCCCUCCCGAAGCUGCGCGCUCGGUCGAAGAGGACGACCAUCCCCGAUAGAGGAGGACCGUUCUUCGGUCAAGGGUAUACGAGUAGCUGCGCUCCCCUGCUAGAACCUCCAAACAAGCUCUCAACCCCAAUGCUUCAUAAUUAGUCAGCUAUUUAAUAAUCCGUCUAUUGGCCUUGAGAAUCACAGUAUCUAAAAAUAUUCCCAAAUAUCUUU
rnacentral:snRNA from 1 species